GGAAGAAAAGAAAAAACAAAAUUGAAUCAUACUAUUUCUUACUGCUUUCCAUGUCACUACACUGCACGCACAAUUAUUAGGCAAGUAAGUAUUUUGACCGUAUCAUUUUAAUGCAUAUUUUCCACCUCCAAGCUGUAUAAACCUGAAUGCUUAUGGGAUAUAAGCAGAUCAGGUGAUGUGUAUUUGUGUAUUGAGGGAGGGUAUGGCCUAAGGAGAUCAACACCCUAUAUCAAGGUGUGCAUAAUUAUUAGACAGUUGCUUUUCCUCAAGCAAAGAAGAGAUUUAACUGGCUCUGAAAAAUCAAAAAUUGUAAAGAGUCUUUCAGAGGGAUGCAGCACUCUUGAAAUUGGGGUGCGACCACAGAACCAUCAAACAUUUUGCUGCAAAUGGUCAAUAGGGUUUCA